ACUAUUGAGAGUUUGAUCCUGGCUCAGAACGAACGCUGGCGGCGUGCUUAACACAUGCAAGUCGAACGGGUUCCGAAAGAGUAGCAAUACUUUUUCGGGAUUAGUGGCGGA
rnacentral:rRNA from 1 species